rnacentral:rRNA from 1 species
UGGGGAAUAUUGGACAAUGGGCGAAAGCCUGAUCCAGCAAUGCCGCGUGAGUGAUGAAGGCCUUAGGGUUGUAAAGCUCUUUUUACCAGGGAUGAUAAUGACAGUACCUGGAGAAUAAGCUCCGGCUAACUCCGUGCCAGCAGCCGCGGUAAUACGGAGGGAGCUAGCGUUGUUCGGAAUUACUGGGCGUAAAGCGUACGUAGGCGGUGACUCAAGUCAGAGGUGAAAGCCUGGAGCUCAACUCCAGAACUGCCUUUGAAACUAGGUCGCUAGAAUCACGGAGAGGUGAGUGGAAUUCCGAGUGUAGAGGUGAAAUUCGUAGAUAUUCGGAAGAACACCAGUGGCGAAGGCGGCUCACUGGACGUGUAUUGACGCUGAGGUACGAAAGCGUGGGGAGCAAACAGGAUUAGAUACCCGAGUAGUCCCUGAGCGGGCUGGCAAGGCGCAU